UUCCAUUCAGCGGUCAGAGAGUUAGUGGGCUAAACCUUUCGCUGCUCCUUUGCAACAUGCUAGGCUGAGGACUACUAGUGGAGGAAGUACUUUGCUUCCGGUUCUGUUCCAAAGAAGUUAUUUGUGGGACUAGAGGGCGGAGUUGGGGGAUGCCCCGGAAGUAUUUCCUUGUGGUCUCACGUCGGAAAAAUGGCGGCGGUACGAGUUGGCGGCCUGCUGCCGUGCAGCCAGCUGCGGGAAGCGCCGCGGGAGCCGCCCCCUGAGCCCGGCAGUGGGUUCCACCGCUUGUCGCUUGUCGGGCUUGUUGGCCAGGCUCCACGCCCUGCGCCUGGAGGACAGCAGCUCCGCCCGCACUGAGAUCCACCUCCUCUUCGACUAGCUCAUCUCCGAGAACUACCGCGAGGGCGGCGGCGUGGCCACGGAGGAUGUCAGUGCUCUUCUUGUCCAAGCUUGCCAACUGGUGCCUCCUAAUCAGAAUCAUCUUGUCAGCAAAGUGUCUAAGCUGAUCCACCAUUUACUUAACAGAUUACAGGUGAUUGUUGAUGAACAGAACCUGGAUUUCUUGUUGGCGUAUACCAUUUUAGCUAUUCGGCAGUGUAGCUCCUGGACACACAUGGAAAUUCUCCAAGCCCUGGCAGCUCUGGUUUACUACAAUGGCUCAAAAUGUCAAAAGGUAGUUUAAACCACACUCUGCCUUUCCUUUGAAAGGCAAGCA